GACGAACGCUGGCGGCGUGCUUAACACAUGCAAGUCGAACGGAAAGGCCCUGCUUUUGUGGGGUGCUCGAGUGGCGAACGGGUGAGUAACACGUGAGUAACCUGCCCUUGACUUUGGGAUAACUUCAGGAAACUGGGGCUAAUACCGGAUAGGAGCUCCUGCUGCAUGGUGGGGGUUGGAAAGUUUCGGCGGUUGGGGAUGGACUCGCGGCUUAUCAGCUUGUUGGUGGGGUAGUGGCUUACCAAGGCUUUGACGGGUAGCCGGCCUGAGAGGGUGACCGGCCACAUUGGGACUGAGAUACGGCCCAGACUCCUACGGGAGGCAGCAGUGGGGAAUAUUACACAAUGGGCGGAAGCCUGAUGCAGCAACGCCGCGUGCGGGAUGACGGCCUUCGGAUUGUAAACCGCUUUCGCCUGUGACGAAGCGUGAGUGACGGUAAUGGGUAAAGAAGCACCGGCUAACUACGUG
rnacentral:rRNA from 1 species